AACAUGCUCCGGGGUCGGUGCAAUUCCGAACCGGCGGUGAUAGCCCGCGACCGCGACCCGUCCGACAUGCAUAUGUCGAGCACGGGAAGCGCUGAUCUGGUGAAAUUCCAGAGCCGACAGUCAGAGUCUGGAUGGGAGGCGCAUGGC
rnacentral:ncRNA from 2 species